rnacentral:lncRNA from 1 species
AUUCCCAAACUAGCAAACUGGAAUCACCUGAUUUGAAAGUGGGAAAACUUCUUCAUCCCAACUCCUAUGAGAUUUAUUCAACUUCCUGGUGAUUCUCCACCACUUUAUGUAUCCAAAUCAAGAUUCUUACAAAGUGAUUCAUCCUGGUUUGAUUGGAAUGAUGAAGAAGCUGUCCUAUUCCCAAACUGCAAAACUGGAAUCACCUGAUUUGAAAGUGGGAUAACUUCUUCAUCCCAACUCCUAUGCGAUUUAUUCAACUUCCUGGUAAUUCUCCAACACUUUAUGUAUCCAAAUCAAGCUUCUUACAAACUUAUUCAUCCUGGUUUGAUUGCAACGACUAAGAAGCUGUCCUAUUCCCAAACUGCGAAACUGGAAAUACCUGAUUUGAAAGUGGGAUAACUUCUUAAUCCCAGCUCCUAUGUGAUUUAUUCAACUUCCUGGUGGUUCUCCACCACUUUAUGUAUCCAAAUCAAGAUUCUUACAAAGUGAUUCAUCCUGGUUUGAUUGGAAUGAUGAAGAAGCUGUCCUAUUCCCAAACUGCAAAACUGGAAUCACCUGAUUUGAAAGUGGGAUAACUUCUUCAUCCCAACUCCUAUGCGGUUUAUUCAACUUCCUGGUAAUUCUCCAACACUCUAUGUAUCCAAAUCAAGCUUCUUACAAACUUAUUCAUCCUGGUUUGAUUGCAACGACUAAGAAGCUGUCCUAUUCCCAAACUGCGAAACUGGAAAUACCUGAUUUGAAAGUGGGAUAACUUCUUAAUCCCAGCUCCUAUGUGAUUUAUUCAACUUCCUGGUGGUUCUCCACCACUUUAUGUAUCCAAAUCAAGAUUCUUACAAAGUGAUUCAUCCUGGUUUGAUUGGAACGACGAAGAAGAUGUCCUAUUCUCUAACUGGAAAACUGGAAUCACCUGAUUUGAAAAUGGGAUAACUUCUUCAUCCCAACUCCUAUGAGAUUUAUUCAACUUCCUGGUGAUUCUCCAAUACUUUAUGUAUCCAAAUCAAGCUUCUUACAAAGUGAUUCAUCUUGGUUUGAUUGAAACGACUAAGAAGCUGUCCUAUUACCAAACUGCGAAACUGAUAUCACCUGAUUUGAAAGUUGGAUAACUUCUUCAUCCCAACUCCUAUGAGAUUUAUUCAACUUCCUGGUGAUUAUCCACCACUUUAUGUAUCCAAAUCAAUAUUCUUACAAAGUGAUUCAUCCUGGUUUGUUUGCAACGACUAAGAAGCUGUCCAAUUUUCAAACUGCAAAACUGGUGUCACCUUAUUUGAAAGUGGGAUAACUUCUUCAUCCCAACUCCUAUAAGAUUAAUUCAACCACCACUUUAUAUAUCCAAAUCAAGAUUCUUACAAAGUGAUUUAUCCUGGUUUGAUUGGAACGACGAAGAAGAUGUCAUAUUCCCAAACUGGGAAACUGGAAUCACCUGAUUUGAAAGUGGGAUAACUUCUUCAUCCCAGCUCUUAUGAGAUUUAUUCAACUUCCUCGUGAUUCUCCAACACUUUAUGAAUCUAAAUCAGGCUUCUUACAAAGUGAUUCAUCCUGGUUUGAUUGGAACGACGAAGAAGCUGUCCUAUUCCCAAACUGCGAAACUCGAAUCACCUGAUUUGAAAGUGGGAUAACUUCUUCAUCCCUGCUCCUAUGAGAUUUAUUCAACUUCCUGGUGAUUAUCCAACACUUUAUGUAUCCAAUUCAAGCUUCUUACAAAGUGAUUCAUCCUGGUUUGAUUGGAACGACGAAGAAGAUGUCCUAUUCCCAAACUAGCAAACUGGAAUCACCUGAUUUGAAAAAGUGGGAUAACUUCUUUAUCCUAAGUCCUAUGAGUUUUAUUCAAAUUCCUGGUGAUUCUCCACCAAUUUAUGUAUCCAAAUCAAGAUUCAUACAAAGUUGUUCAUCCUGGUUUGAUUGGAAUGAUGAAGAAGCUGUCCUAUUCCCAAACUGCAAAACUGGAAUAUCACCUGAUUUGAAAGUGGGAUAACUUCUUCAUCCCAACUCCUAUGCGAUUUAUUCAACUUCCUUGUUAUUCUCCAACACUUUAUGUAUCCAAAUCAAGCUUCUUACAAACUUAUUUAUCCUGGUUUGAUUGCAACGACUAAGAAGCUGUCCUAUUCCCAAACUGUGAAACUGGAAAUACCUGAUUUGAAUGUGGGAUAACUUUUUCAUCCCAGCUCCUAUGUGAUUUAUUCAACUUCCUGGUGGUUCUCCACCACUUUAUGUAUCCAAAUCAAGAUUCUUACUAAGUGAUUCAUCCUGGUUUGAUUGGAACGACGAAGAAGCUGUCCUAUUCCCAAACUGCGAAGCUGGAAUCACCUGAUUUGAAAGUGGGAUAACUUCUACAUCCCAGCUCUUAUGAGAUUU